AACCAUUUUAUUGUUCAUAAUAUACAUAAUUGUUACGUCCUGUACAAACAUUGCAACGAACCAAUGCGUAGAGCACAAUUUUGUUUAUAAAUGAAGUACAGUAUAUAUGCAAUAAGAGGUAUUAAAAACAAAAAAUGAAUAUUUGAAACUAGCAUUCCUUGAGAUUUGAAUAACUCAGUGUUUGUUAAAAAUGUACAGUAGAAUGUGAUAAUGUGCUAAAACAAAACGUGUGAUCGUUUUAAAAGGUACUUCAUAACUGUAAGACAAUAAUCUUUUUUUGUUACUUGAUUUCAUAACCUCCAUAGCCCUCUACUCAAGCUUCUCUUCUCUGUCCUGAGCUAUAAUUAUGGACAAGUGCAAUCAUUUGUUCUACAAUGUCCUCACAUCUGAGUUUUGUCAUUUUAGCUGGUAAAAUUACUCAAUGGACUGUUUACCACUAGAAGAUGCAACUAGUAUUAAAAAAACUAUUUACACCUGUACUAAUGGAUUAAUUAUAUUCUGCCUUUCUUGAGAUUUCUACUUGCUUCCCCAAACCCUGAAAGAUUAAGUGAUUUGUGCAGUGAAGCUAUUUUUUCACUUUUACAUUUGAAAAUGUAACUGGAUCACAUGUCAGGAAUUAGUCACAGCCAUGUGCUUCUUCUACUGAAUAUAGUGCUUAGUUGAAAACUUGAAUCUUGAAAUCACCAAAAUUUUGCACAGGAUUUAUUAUUUCAAUAAACAAUAAACAAACUUUCUAACCCCAAUAUUACAUAAAUGUUUGUUUCCCAACAACUUAAAAUACAAGGGGAGAGUUUUCUAAAGAUUUUAAUAAGUCUACCUAAAACACAUAUUGUGUUACAUAUAACAUUACAAUAUGUAUGAUUCAUAAUCAGUGCCUAUAAAAAGCCAACAAUCCUUUAAAAAUAUUCACUUUUUUGUUGCCUAGAAACAAAAUAGAAUAGAAAUGAAAAGUCUUUAUCUACACAUCCAUUCUAGAAUCUUUUAGAAAAUUUCAGCAAAAAAGCAGAAACAGGGACCGACAUUCACCUUUCAGCAUGACACCAACCUAAAGCACACAGUAGAAAAAGCAACACUGGAGCAGAUUAAGAACAAAAAGGUAAAUGUCCUUGUGGGGCCCAGUCAGAACCCAAAUGUAAAUCCAAUCAAAAGUUUGUACCAUGACUUGAAAACCGUUGUCCAUCAACACUCCCCCAGGAGCUUGACAGACUCGAACAGUCCUGUAAAGAACAGCGGUCAAUCAUCGCCAAAUAUAGAUGGGUGAUGACUUUUUCCCAUAUUGCAACAUGAAUAAAGACCUUACUGAGUGAAUGAGAA